AACGAACGCUGGCGGCAGGCUUAACACAUGCAAGUCGAACGCCCCGCAAGGGGAGUUGCAGACUGGUGAGUAGCGCGUGGGAACAUACCCUUUUCUACGGAAUAGCUCUGGGAGACUGGGAUUAAUACCGGAUACGCCCUACUGGGGAAAGAUUUAUCGGGGAAGGAUUGGCCCGCGUUGGAUUAGCUAGUUGGUGGGGUAAAGGCCUACCAAGGCGACGAUCCAUAGCUGGUCUGAGAGGAUGAUCAGCCACACUGGGACUGAGACACGGCCCAAACUCCUACGGGAGGCAGCAGAGGGGAAUAUUGCAAAAUGGGCGCAAGCAUGAUCCAGCCAUGCCGCGUGAGUGAUGAAGGCGUUAGGGUUGUAAAGCUCUUUAACCGAUGAAGAUAAUGACGGUAGUCGGAGAAGAAGCCCCGGCUAACUUCGUG
rnacentral:rRNA from 1 species